rnacentral:ncRNA from 1 species
ACCUGGUCAUGAACAACCCUGUUACAGUUGAAUAGAUGCGAACGUUCUUAACGAUCACAACAAACGGGUAUGGCCGUUUUUAGUUGGUGGAGCGACUUGUCUGGUUAAUUCCGAUAACAAACAAGAACUUUAACCUGAUAAAUAGUAGACUGGUCCUCUGUGCUCGUUUAGAGCGUGGCUUCCAUUGCUUUUUAUGGAGUAGUGUGGUCGUGAGCCGGCGGGUGCGGUACCACUUUUUACUUCUUAGAGGGACAAGCGUCAUAUUUAAGUGGCACGAAAUUGAGCAAUAACGCGUCUGUGAUUCCUUUAGAUGUCUGGG